GAUGAACGCUAGCUACAGGCUUAACACAUGCAAGUCGAGGGGAAACGAUAUUGGAAGCUUGCUUCCGAUAGGCGUCGACCGGCGCACGGGUGAGUAACGCGUAUCCAACCUGCCCAUCACUUGGGGAUAACCUUGCGAAAGUAAGACUAAUACCCAAUGACGUCUCUAGAAGACAUCUGAAAGAGGUUAAAGAUUUAUCGGUGAUGGAUGGAGAUGCGUCUGAUUAGCUUGUUGGCGGGGUAACGGCCCACCAAGGCGACGAUCAGUAGGGGGUCUGAGCGGAAGGUCCCCACCAUUGGAACUGAGACACGGUCCAAACGCCUACGGGAGGCAGCAGUGAGGAAUAUUGGUCAAUGGGCGAGAGCCUGAACCAGCCAAGUAGCGUGCAGGAUGACGGCCCUAUGGGUUGUAAACUGCUUUUAUAAGGGAAUAAAGUGGGAGUCGUGACUCCUUUUGCAUGUACCUUAUGAAUAAGGACCGGCUAAUUCCGUGCCAGCAGCCGCAGUAA
rnacentral:rRNA from 1 species